rnacentral:rRNA from 1 species
AUUUGGGGAUUGAUACCCUAUUAUUGUAGUAGAAAGAAGUUAUUGGAGAUUAAAUGUUAAAAACAUUAAAUUUAAAUAAUUUGGCGGUAUUUUAAAAGGUUAGAGGAAUCUGUUGUGUAAUUGAUAGUCCACGAUAGGAAUAUCCUAAUAUAGUUUUAUGUAUUGUUGUUUAAAUAUUGAUUUAUAAGAAUUUGAUAGUAAUUUAAUUUAUAUAAAAUAAUUCAAAUCAAAGUGUAGAGUUGUUAGGUGUAAAUGGAUUACAAUUUAUUUGAUAAUUGGAGUUUAUAUUUUUAAUAGGUAGAUAAAAAUGGAUUUAAUAGUAAGGUUGUUAAAUUAGAUAAAUUGAAAUAUAUUUAAAAUAUGUACAAAUUGCCCGUCAUU